rnacentral:misc_RNA from 1 species
GAUGAAGAACGUAGCGAAAUGCGAUAAGUAAUGUGAAUUGCAGAAUUCAGUGAAUCAUCGAAUCUUUGAACGCACAUUGCGCCCGCCAGUAUUCUGGCGGGCAUGCCUGUCUGAGCGUCAUUUCAACCCUCAUGCCCCUAGGGCGUGGUGUUGGGGAUCGGCCACAGCCCGCGAGGGACGGCCGGCCCCUAAAUCUAGUGGCGGACCCGUCGUGGCCUCCUCUGCGAAGUAGUGAUAUUCCGCAUCGGAGAGCGAUGAGCCCCUGCCGUUAAACCCCCAACUUUCCAAGGUUGACCUCAGAUCAGGUAGGAAUACCCGCUAAACUUAAGCAUAUCAAUAAGCGGAGGA